UCCCUCUGAAAUCCCGUCCCGCCCAUUAGAACUAUAGAAGUCCGACUCUCAAACUCUCCCAGAGAGGAAAGCAAUGGCGACCUCCCCACCUCACUCGGAUGCUCAACUCCUUACUGCUCCGGAAGCUGACUCUCAGCUCUCCUCUCUCGUCUACGAUAUGUUGCAAGAAUUCCAAGGGGCAAUGGAAAACAUGCUUAAAAUGAUUAAUGAGAUUGAUCAAAACUCUGCUGGAAUAAUGGAAGAGAUGGAGAAAUGCAAAGAUUCUGCUCUUGAGAGGAAGAGGACCUUGGAGGAAGAGAAGGAACGAUUUCAGAAAGCUGCUUACACUGUCUUAGACAUGUUCAACAGCAGAGAUUAAAAGUUGCCUGGGAAACAAUGACAUAUCUGUCACCGGAAUGACAAAUAGAUCAGAAGAUGACAUUUUCACAAAUAGCUAGGAUUGCAUUGUACCUGUCUAAGUGCCACUGGAUUUCUCUUACCUGUUAAAAUUUUGUUUUCCUGUAUGUAUGGAAUGAAGACUCAACUUUGGUGAAGUUUGAGUUUUUUUUUCCUACCUUCAUUGCCCCCCUCUCCUCCCAUUUUGUAUGGAAGCAUUCCCACAAAAUUGAGGCUAAAAUGGUUGCUGUUGAAAGUGUAUAGUGACGAGAAUUGAUCUGUUUUUUUUAAGAGAAAAUGCGGCCUUUCAGCAAGUCUGAUGUGGUUUGUUGCAUCUUCUUGUAGAUACACUAGAAACUAUCAGUAGUCUGUCAGAUGUAAUCUCUUGUAAGUUUUGAUCCAGAAUUUGCAUCAAGGGCAGGACAGUCUCUCUAUGAUUGUUCAUCCUCUUAAAUUCUUAUUUUGUGCAAAAAUAUGCGAUUCCCUAUUAAAAUUUGUAAGCCUUUUUUUUUUUUGUUCACUUUGAUGUAAUGUGAAUGAAAUCUCUGGGUUACAUGA